GUACUUGCUUUGGGAACACGUAUACUAAAAUUGGAAUGAUACGGAGCUUAGCAUGGCCCAUAUGCAAAGAUGGCCCAGAAAUUCAUGCAGCGUUCCAUAAUUUU
ensembl:snRNA U6 U6 spliceosomal RNA